GGCCUCCAUCUUGAAAACGGAAAAUAAAAACAGCAGACCUAUGAAGGUCGAAGGGGAAGAAAAGCUGUAUCGAUUGUUGAGAUCUGGCGACUUGUUUAAAUUUCAUCAGCCUCACUUCUAUGAACUCUCAGAGCUGAUUACCAACUCCUACCACUGUUAACCCUCAUCCAGGAACAAGCUUAUGUCUUUAACAUUCUGAGUGGGCUUCAGCAUCCUUGCAUAUGUUCAAUUCUUAAAAACCUGUUGAAAUAAAAGAUCAGGAGACAUAGGAAGGAUGCCAGAAGAGAGCGUGGCCUCACGUGUACCAGCUCUCUGCUCUCCUUUGCCUUGGGACGUUCCAUCCCUGGAAGUUUCCCUGCCCACAUCUUUGUAGAGAGUCCAUUCUCCAAGCUUCAGUGUGUCAUCUGUGAGGACCGUGACCCACCUGGUACAUCGCCUCAGGGCAUUCAUUUCAGGCUCCUUCUAAAUGGCCAAGAGGUGAUUAGAACUCUAACAAAUGUUUCAGGACCAUACUAAGAGGCUGUAACCAUUGACUGUGGUGGACGUAUCAGAUUGAAGCCCUGGGGCAUGGCCACAUCAUUAUGACAAUAGUUUAAGUUGUUAAGAAGCUCAAGGACCAACAAGUGAGAAUGUAAUUCUCUAUCAAGAUUGCCAGCUGUUUUUAAGUGUUUGGAGACCAAGAUGAAGACCACAAGAAUCAGUGGCAGAUUGUCAAAGCAAUGAUGCAGAAGCCUACCAUUACCAUUAUGAGCCACAAGAGUACACUCAUGGCCUUGAAUCUUCAUCCACUCAGAGCUCCAUGUGUAUUCUUCCAAGCCAUUGCUCUAUACCCGGAACCGCCUUUUCUUGAACACACCACAGGAUACCUCACCCAUCUGUUCUGUGAAGCAUUCCAAUGACAAUAACCACCUACCAUUUUGUGCUAUUAUACAGUUAUCUCCUUCCCCUUCAUCCUGUUGGUAUUGUGUAUAUUACUUAAGAUGAGCACUCUAGUUCUUUAUUUGCUUGUAAAUUAUAAGUGGUGGUGUGGUUUAUAAACUCAUGAAAAUUAUAUUUCACUUGGGAUGAAACUGGUAGAACCAUUUAUAAUAACAUCAUGUUGUUAUGUGGUAUAUAUAUUAUAUAUAGGUAUAUAUAUACACCAAUAUGAAGAGUGAAUUACAUUGUAGGUAGGGUAAUAGAUUAGCUCAAUUGUUUAGUAUAACGUCAAGCUAUUUGUGGUUCAGGUGUGAGCCCCAUAGGACUAGUUACCUUACUAUUUGCUAUAGUUGAAAACUAUAGCUCUACAAUAAGCGGCUGUUUUAAGAUGAAGAUGGUGUUACACGUAGUAUGGCAGAGACAGAGUGAUAUACUCUAAGGAACAUUGUUCAGCUAAUCAGACCUGGGUUCAAAUUCCAUCACCACUGUUUACUUGCUGUGUGCUUCCAAACAAA
rnacentral:lncRNA from 1 species